rnacentral:rRNA from 1 species
UACGUAGGGUGCAAGCGUUGUCCGGAAUUAUUGGGCGUAAAGAGCUCGUAGGCGGUCUGUCGCGUCUGCUGUGAAAACUCAGGGCUUAACCCUGAGCUUGCAGUGGGUACGGGCAGACUAGAGUGCGGUAGGGGAGACUGGAAUUCCUGGUGUAGCGGUGAAAUGCGCAGAUAUCAGGAGGAACACCGGUGGCGAAGGCGGGUAUCUGGGCCGUAACUGACGCUGAGGAGCGAAAGCAUGGGGAGCGAACAGG